rnacentral:lncRNA from 1 species
CGCGGGUGGAGGCGUCGCCGGGGUCGGGCUAGCAGGCUCUGGGAUCGGGCUUGUGGGACACCCCGAAAAUAAAGACGCAGAGCCUCAGAGAAGUUAAACGAUUGAUCCUAUGUCAGGGGGUAGAGUCAAGACUCAUACCUAUGCCUUUUAACUUCAAGAUUGGACGACUGAUUAUUGGACAGAAUGGCAUCUUGUCGACACCUGCGGUCUCCUGCAUUAUCAGGAAGAUCAAGGCAGCUGGUGGAAUCAUUCUAACAGCCAGCCACUGCCCUGGAGGACCAGGGGGAGAGUUUGGAGUGAAGUUUAAUGUUGCCAAUGGAGGGCAGACUUCUUGGAGGAAGUGAAAUUUGAACUGCGAUGUGAAGAAUGAGCAGGAGUUAGUGAGGUGAAGAAGAGAGAAGGAGUGUUGCAAACACAGGUCUGGAAUGAAAUGACGAGAG